rnacentral:lncRNA from 10 species
CCGGACUGCGGACCCCGCCCCCGACGGGGGCCAGUCAAAGGAACGGAUGAGUACAAAAAGUUGCUACCCUUGAAGUGUUACCUAUCACUAUCAACCACAGCUUGUUUAUUUGGAAAGAACUUAAGUGAACCGUCAAGAGAAAAACAAAUGCAUAUUCUUUCUACAAAUAGUAGCAUUUAGUAUCUUUCCUGACCACAUUUGCGAAAAGAGGGAAUAGAGACUUCUAUAAUUAAAGGGAAAAGGAAAAUGAAAGGAGCUGAAAAUAGUGAACUGUGUAGUCUGGAUGGCUGAAAUUUGAAAACACAUGAAAUUAUCAGGACUGCCAAACGGUGUUCCUGAGAAACCAUAUCACAGAUUGUGAAGAAAAUCAAUGCUAGAAGAGUCGGAACAGGCACCGUACUCUUACUCCUUUGAAGAAUCCCAGAAAUAGUUGUUGAGGUUUUUUUUUUCUGCUGAGAAAAAAAGAUAUAUUGGAAAUUAAGUCAUCAACAGUACCUUAAGCACCACUCUGUAGGUUAUGGUGUAUCUAACUCAUCCAGAGAAAUCAAGAUUAUGUUUUCAUACCAAGAUUGGGGGUUUUAUUUCAUGCCUGUGGAGUCUAUAGUCCUAAGAUUCACAAUGCAAUCCACUCAUGGGAAAGAACCCUUGCAUAAACUGUAAUUCACUUUGUUCAGAAUUUCUCUGGGUAGUUUUGUUUGUUUGUUCGUUUUGGUUUUGUUUUUGUUGAGACAGAGUCUCACUCUGUCACCCAGGCUGGAGUGCAGUGGCGCCGUCUCGGCUCACUACAAUCUCUGCUUCCUGGGUUCAUGCGAUUCUCCUGCCUCAGCCUUCUGAGUAGCUGGGAUCACAGGCGCCCACCACCACACCUGGCUAAUUUUUGUAUUUUUUAGUAGAGACAGGGUUUCACCAUGCUGGCCAGGGUGGCCUCGAACUCCUGACCUCAGGUGAUCUCCCAAAGUGCUGGGUCUCCCAAAGUGCUGGGAUUACAGGCGUGAGCAAUUGCGCCUGGCCUCUCUGGGUAGUAUUUUGAUAGUUAGAGGGUGCAUUUAUUUCUGUCCUUUGCCAGAAGACAUAGACUGUACACAUUUUUUUAAGGUACUUAUAUAACUAUACUGUACAUUAAAAUAUACCACUAGGGAAGUGGAGUACCAUGUUCUUUGGCCACUGUAUCCAGUUUGGAGAGUUAAGUUUUUACUUUAGGGAAGAAGUGGCAGGGUGGGGAGGAAACAGACCCCUCAGCCCUUACCAUUUUUCACGUAGCUGGUUCUUUCUCAUCCUUUCUGUCCCAUCCUACCCAAACAUUUUCCUGCACCAACUUCUAUUGUAGCACCUUGAAUAUUUCCUUCAUAACAUUGUUUUCUCAGAAGUAGAAUAGUAUUUGGUACAAGUUGGUACUCAAUAAACAUUUAUUAAAUGAAUGAAUAUGGAGGAAAUGAUGUACUCAGCUGGCUUUCAUGUAUUAAACUCUAUUUUCAAAGGACGAAAAGGGUCCCAUUUCCAAGAUACAUGCUGAUUUCAUAAAGAAUUUGGUCAGAUCUUGGCUCAUAAGUCAUAUUACAAAUAUCUUUAACAGGUCAGCUCUGGCUUACAAGCCACACAAAGGAUCUGAACCUCUUGGUAGAUAACAGUUAUAUUUACAAAAUGUAUAUAAAAUAAAAUGUUACAUAAAUUAAAAAUAAAAUUAUAUAUAAAUAUAUAUUUUUAACAUUUAUAUAUUAAUUUUGCAAAUAUAAAUAUGAAAAGUGGCUAACAUUGUAUAUAAAAUGCAAUUUGGAAU